UACGAAGGGGGCUAGCGUUGCUCGGAAUUACUGGGCGUAAAGCGCACGUAGGCGGAUUGUUAAGUCGGGGGUGAAAUCCUGGAGCUCAACUCCAGAACUGCCUUUGAUACUGGCGAGCUUGAGUUCGGGAGAGGUGAGUGGAACUGCGAGUGUAGAGGUGAAAUUCGUAGAUAUUCGCAAGAACACCAGUGGCGAAGGCGGCUCACUGGCCCGAUACUGACGCUGAGGUGCGAAAGCGUGGGGAGCAAACAGG
rnacentral:rRNA from 1 species